CAACAACGGAUCUCUUGGUUCUGGCAUCGAUGAAGAACGCAGCGAAAUGCGAUAAGUAAUGUGAAUUGCAGAAUCCAGUGAAUCAUCGAAUCUUUGAACGCACAUUGCGCCCUGAGGAAACUCCCGUGGGGCAUGCCUGGUCGAGCGUCAU
rnacentral:rRNA from 1 species